rnacentral:misc_RNA from 1 species
AACACUUUCAAAAAAAGCACUUCUUUUCUUUCUUCUCUCUCUCCACAUAGUUUUCUUUGGAGGUCCCCCUUUCUCUUUAUCUCUGUCAACAGUAGUGCUGCUAAUCCCCCAUUGCUAAAGCAGAGAGAGACCCUAAAAAGUUUUGAUCUUUGUGACACUUCAGGGUGUACAUGAAGUGAACUUGGACGCUGUGUUAUGGGCUUGGUUGACCAGACUGCAUUGAGGAUUCGUUGUUCAAUUUAAUGGCGUCAACACCUUCUGUCAAGAGUUCACUGGAAAAGCUGAAUAAGUCAGCUGGAAUUCAAGCAGUAGAACGCAAUCCUCGGAGAUCAGCACCUUCCCAAGUUUCAAAAAGUAUCAAUUCUGGGAGCACGACUUCGAAGGAGCUACAACACAAUGAUCGAGAAGUUGCAUCUAAGCAACUUAUGGCAGAAGCAACAACCAAAAAGAAGUCAAAUAGCUAUCAGCAAGUAGGAUCUGCCGACUUAUUGGUUGAUAAGUUUGAUUCGAGCUUAUAUUUAGGAAAUCUGAAGCAUGCUCCAAGCGGUGCAGCUUCCGCACUCUGUGAAGCAAAGGGCUCGCAGUGCGCUGUUGAUCAGGAAAAGAAGGCAUCAGGAAAUGGAGACAUCAAGGAUAACUCAGCCCCAGCCAAAGUCAGUGAUGGGGCCGGUAGCCUUGCAAAAACAAGUGGAAGUGCCAAAGUUAGCGAUCGAGCUGAUUUUGUUGAGAGUGGAAAGAGCAGCAUCUGUAGGGGAAGCACAAGCACCGAUGUAAGUGAUGAAAGUACUUGCAGCAGCUUUAGCACCACUAUUAAUAAACCCCACAAAGCUAAUGACUCAAGAU